rnacentral:rRNA from 1 species
UACGUAGGGACCGAGCGUUGUCCGGAUUCAUUGGGCGUAAAGAGCUCGUAGGCGGCCACUCAAGUCGAAUGUGAAACCUCGAGGCUUAACCUCGAGCCUGCAUUCGAUACUGGGCGGCUAGAGUCUGGUAGGGGCAUGCGGAACUUCCGGUGGAGCGGUGAAAUGCGUAGAUAUCGGAAGGAACGCCGGUGGCGAAAGCGGCGUGCUGGACCUCUUCUGACGCUGAGGCGCGAAAGCCAGGGGAGCGAACGGG